rnacentral:rRNA from 1 species
ACGACGCUGGCGGCAUGCCUAACACAUGCAAGUCGAACGGGAACUUGUUUGAAGGAAGUUUUCGGAUGGAAUUUGACAAGUUUAGUGGCGGACGGGCGAGUAACGCGUGAAUAACCUGCCCAUAAGAGGGGGAUAACACAGAGAAAUUUGUGCUAAUACCGCAUAUUGAAUUAUAAUCGCAUGAUUUUAAUUUGAAAGAUUUUAUCGCUUAUGGAUGGAUUCGCGUAAGAUUAGCUAGUUGGUGAGGUAACGGCUCACCAAGGCGACGAUCUUUAGCCGAACUGAGAGGUUGAUCGGCCGCAUUGGGACUGAGACACGGCCCAGACUCCUACGGGAGGCAGCAGUGGGGGAUAUUGCGCAAUGGGGGCAACCCUGACGCAGCAACGCCGCGUGCGGGAAGAAGGUCUUCGGAUUGUAAACCGUUGUCGCAAGGGAAGAAGACAGUGACGGUACCUUGUGAGAAAGCCACGGCUAACUACGUG